rnacentral:rRNA from 1 species
AAAUACUCCCGAGAGACCGAUAGCGAACCAGUACCGUGAGGGAAAGGUGAAAAGAACCCCGAGCAGGGGAGUGAAAUAGACCCUGAACCCGUCUGCCUACAAGCGGUCGGAGCGUCGUAAUGACGUGACGGCGUGCCUUUUGCAUAAUGAACCUACGAGUUACCUUCCCCGGCAAGGUUAAGUUCUUGAGGAACGGAGCCGAAGCGAAAGCGAGUCUGAACAGGGCGCCAAGUCGGGGGGGGUAGACGCGAAACCGAGUGAUCUACCCUUGGCCAGGUUGAAGGUUGGGUAACACCAACUGGAGGACCGGAUGGGUAAGCGUUGAAAAGCUUUCCAAUGAGCUGAGGGUAGGGGUGAAAGGCUAAUCAAACUCGGAGAUAGCUCGUACUCCCCGAAAUGCAUUUAGGUGCAGCCUCUUUAUAGUAUAUCGUGAGGUAGAGCGACUGAUUGGAUGCGAGGGCUUCACCGCCUAUCAAGUCCAGAUAAACUCCGAAUGCGUUAUAUAUAUUUAUAAGGAGUGAGGGCGCGGGUGCUAAGGUCCGCGUCCGAGAGGAGAAGAAUCCAGACCAUCAGCUAAGGUCCCCAAAUAACAGUUAAGUUGAACUAACGAAGUCAGACUGCAGAGACAGCUAGGAUGUUGGCUUGGAAGCAGCCAUUCAUUUAAAGAGUGCGUAACAGCUCACUAGUCGAGCGAUCUGGCGUGGAUAAUAAUCGGGCAUAAACGAUCUGCCGAAGCCGUGGAUGUCGCAAGACAUGGUAGGGGAGCAUUCCAUGCCGCGUCGAAGAUGAGGGAUGACCCUUGUUGGAGCGCAUGGAAAAGCAAAUGUAGGUAUGAGUAACGAUAAGGGGGGCGAGAACCCCCCCCGCCGAAAGACCAAGGUUUCCUGAUCAACGCUAAUCGGAUCAGGGUGAGUCGGGACCUAAGGCAAAGCCGAACGGCGCCGCCGAUGGAAGAAUGGGUUAAUAUUCCCAUACUGCCUCAUGGAGUGACGUGGAGACGGAGAAGUGACAGUCCUGCCGGCUGACGGAAUAGCCGGUUGAAGGGUGUAGAUAUUGAUUCCCGUAGGCAAAUCCGCGGGGAGAGUCGAACCUGAGAGUAUACGGAGCGCUUGCGCAACGUAAUAUGGACGUAACCAUGCUCCCGAGAAAAUCCGCUAAACUUAUCCAUGCGGCACCCGUACCGUAAACGGACACACGUGGUCGGGUUGAGAAUACUGAGGCGCUCGAGUGAUUCACGGUUAAGGAACUAGGCAAAUUGACCCUGUAACUUCGGGAUAAAGGGUCCCUACCCUUUUAUGGGAGGGCGCAGAGAAUCGGUCCAGGCAACUGUUUAACAAAAACACAGGGCUGUGCGAAAUAGAAAUAUGAAGUAUACAGCCUGACACCUGCCCGGUGCUGGAAGGUUAAGAGGAGAUGUCAUCGCAAGAGAAGCAUUGAAUUGAAGCCCCAGUAAACGGCGGCCGUAACUAUAACGGUCCUAAGGUAGCGAAAUUCCUUGUCGGGU